UGAGAACCAAAGAGAACCCUUCCUAGUCAAAAGGGACUAGGUUGGGCCAACCUAUGGGUGGAUCCAGCGAUCUCACAGCGACGCUGGGAAACCAAGUUGGUUUGGAAUAACUGCUGAAAGCAUUUAAGCGGGAAAUCCUUCUCUAGACAAGUUCUCGUACAAGGUAUCCAUCACCUUGAUAGGUGAUAGGUGUAAGCACCGUGAGGUGUUCAGCGAUAUCGUACUAAUUAAAUGA
rfam:Picea glauca, whole genome shotgun sequence.